CACGUAGGGUGCGAGCGUUGUCCGGAAUUAUUGGGCGUAAAGAGCUCGUAGGCGGUGUGUCGCGUCGGCCGUGAAAACCUGCAGCUUAACUGUGGGCUUGCGGUCGAUACGGGCAUCACUGGAGUUACGUGCAGGGGAGACUGGAAUUCCUGGUGUAGCGGUGAAUGCGCAGAUAUCAGGAGGAACACCGGUGGCGAAGGCGGGUCUCUGGGCAGUAACUGACGCUGAGGAGCGAAAGCGUGGGGAGCAAACAGG
rnacentral:rRNA from 1 species